GAAGUUCCCGGCUCCCCCUUCUCCAUUGCAACGUAAUCAGCCCUUCAGUGACAUUCUUAAACUUCAGUUUAUUUCUUUUUUGUCUCCCUCUCUUCUUUCUGUUUUUUUUUAUAAACGUAUUUAUUCACAAGACUUGCAAUAAUUGAGUUUUAUAUUUGACGAGUGUGUAAUUUAUGAAUAUAUGGGCUCCAAGUGUUCUGUUUCAGAGAAUCCACGUGUGGUGUAAAUGUUAUAGACACAGUAGUUUUAGUUUAAAUUCAAAUUAGAUUGUACUUCCUGUAUAGUAAUUAGUAUUGCGUGUCAUCCCGUCCCAUUCCCCGUUGUAGCGUCUGAUAAGCAUUUAAUUAACUUAUUUAUUGUAUCUAUUUCUUUAAUGAUAAAAACUGUUUGUUCAUAAUUUAUCAUUGUAGCCAAAUAACAAAAUCAAAUACAUGUACAUGUAAAUCUCUUAUGCGUCGUUACUGUAACAGAUAUUUCCUAACAAUCGGAAUAUAGUCUUUCGGCUCUGGUACGUAGUAUUUACGGAGCGAAGUAUUUUUAAUUUUUUUCAGGGUUCUUAGAUAGAACGCAUGCGAAAGGCUGGCGUCUAAUUAAUUCAUAUGGAUAAUAUAUAGAUUUUAUAGAUUUGAAUAAUGUUGGUUUUUCCUUUUGACAUCCAGCUAGGAUUGUUUCAAUAAACUGAUGAUGUC
rnacentral:misc_RNA from 1 species